ACGGAGGGUGCUAGCGUUGUUCGGAUUUACUGGGCGUAAAGGGUACGUAGGCUGUUUAUCAAGUUGGAAGUGAAAUCCCGGGGCUCAACCCCGGAACUGCUUUCAAAACUGGUAGGCUAGAGUUAAGUAGAGGAUAGUGGAAUUCCCAGUGUAGAGGUGAAAUUCGUAGAUAUUGGGAGGAACACCAGAAGCGAAGGCGACUAUCUGGGCUUAUACUGACGCUAAGGUACGAAAGUGUGGGGAGCAAACAGG
rnacentral:rRNA from 1 species